rnacentral:rRNA from 1 species
GACGAACGCUGGCGGCGUGCUUAACACAUGCAAGUCGAACGGAAAGGCCCUGCUUUUGUGGGGUGCUCGAGUGGCGAACGGGUGAGUAACACGUGAGUAUCCUGCCCUUGACUUUGGGAUAACUUCAGGAAACUGGGGCUAAUACCGGAUAGGAGCUCCUGCUGCAUGGUGGGGGUUGGAAAGUUUCGGCGGUUGGGGAUGGACUCGCGGCUUAUCAGCUUGUUGGUGGGGUAGUGGCUUACCAAGGCUUUGACGGGUAGCCGGCCUGAGAGGGUGACCGGCCACAUUGGGACUGAGAUACGGCCCAGACUCCUACGGGAGGCAGCAGUGGGGAAUAUUGCACAAUGGGCGGAAGCCAGAUGCAGCAACGCCGCGUGCGGGAUGACGGCCUUCGGGUUGUGAACCGCUUUCGCCUGUGACGAAGCGUGAGUGACGGUAAUGGGUAAAGAAGCACCGGCUAACUACGUG